UACGUAGGGUGCGAGCGUUAAUCGGAAUUACUGGGCGUAAAGCGUGCGCAGGCGGUUCGUUAUGUCUGGUGUGAAAGCCCCGGGCUUAACCUGGGAAGUGCGCGCGAAACUGACGAGCUUGAGUGCCGGAGAGGGUCGCGGAAUUCCCGGUGUAGAGGUGAAAUUCGUAGAUAUCGGGAGGAACACCAGUGGCGAAGGCGGCGACCUGGACGGACACUGACGCUGAGACGCGAAAGCGUGGGGAGCAAACAGG
rnacentral:rRNA from 1 species